GACGAACGCUGACGGUGUGCUUUAGACAUGCAAGUCGAACGAGAAAGCCCUUCGGGGUUAGUAAAGUGGCGAACGGGUGAGUAACACGUGGGCAAUCUGCCCCUCGCAGGGGGGACAACCGGAGGAAACCCCGGCUAAUACCCCGUAAGUUCAAAGGGAGGCAUCUCCCCUUGAAGAAAGGUAGCUUCGGCCAUCCGGCGAGGGAUGAGCCCGCGGUGCAUUAGCUAGUUGGUGGGGUAACGGCCCACCAAGGCGACGAUGCAUAGCUGGUCUGAGAGGAUGAUCAGCCACACUGGGACUGAGACACGGCCCAGACUCCGUACGGGAGGCAGCAGUCGGGAAUCUUGCGCAAUGGGCGAAAGCCUGACGCAGCAACACGUGUGUGUGAGGAA
rnacentral:rRNA from 1 species